GCUAGUUCGACCGGGUGUCGUCAGUUGAUCCCAGCCUUACAGCCCCACCCUCAGCUCCUCCUCUCUUCCCUUUUAUGGAAUUGUCUGGGCUUGACGGAACCUGUGACACGGUCAAAAUGGCGGUGGUGGCCACCUCCCAUUUUAGCAGAAAAACUUGUUAUUGGAGUCUAUGGAAACCCAUUGUCCAUAUAUUAAUGUCGAUGAUCUAGAUGCCACUUUGUUUUCACUGAGGUCCAAAAUGCACACCACAACAAAAUUCUCACCAUUCUACCUAAUGUAUGGAAGAGAGGCAAGGUUCCCAUGUGAACUUCCCGUUGAAAUGCCGUACUUAAACUUUGGUCUUUGAAAGACUCUGGCCAAAUAGAAGCCCUGGUUGGUCCAUACAAACUGUAUGAUACAUCUUUUCAUACACUAUGUGGACAUGGGUGGCUGUCAGAUGAAAUCCUAGAUGCUUAUCUCCAUCUCAUUGUGGAAAAAGA